CCUUUUUGUACCAACUUAAAACUCCGUAGUGGUCUAUGAAGUACCUACUGCCCUAGAAUCCCAAAGUGUUGUUGCUGUUCUUAUAAAACCCGAGGGUUGGAGGCAGCGAAAGAAGAAACACAGCCGCGCCAGGAAACUAAGAGCAGGAUGCGGGGUCAAUACAGGGAACCCUCUCGGCGCCUUGGCCGCCACAGGGCAACCCUCCCCCCCAAAGUAGGGCAGGGCUCCGCUCCUCCAGAAGCGGGUCGGCCAGCCAAAGAGAGCCCUCUUCGCGUGGGUUUUAAAGGAAGAGGCCCCGCAGAGGAUGCAGGAAGGAGCAGGCCGCGCGUAUCCUCCGUGAGUGAAGUCGACCUGGCAUCUUUGUUUCAGCACCAGACUUAUCUCCUCCACCCAGCUUUUGAUGGAUUACAAAUGGAUGUUUUGCUACUGCUGUGCCGGCGAUUUCCUGUAGCUGUUAUAGGGAUUGUUACAUUUUUGUGGCAUAAAGUAUUACUAUUUGUUUUUAA